AAUAGAUACCCAGGUAGUCCACGCCGUAAACGGUGGGCACUAGGUGUGGGCGACAUUCCACGUCGUCCGUGCCGCAGCUAACGCAUUAAGUGCCCCGCCUGGGGAGUACGGCCGCAAGGCUAAAACUCAAAGGAAUUGCCGGGGGCCCGCACAAGCGGCGGAGCAUGUGGCUUAAUUCGACGCAACGCGAAGAACCUUACCAAGGCUUGACAUACACCGGAAAGCAUCAGAGAUGGUGCCCCCCUUGUGGUCGGUGUACAGGUGGUGCAUGGCUGUCGUCAGCUCGUGUCGUGAGAUGUUGGGUUAAGUCCCGCAACGAGCGCAACCCUUGUCCCGUGUUGCCAGCAGGCCCUUGUGGUGCUGGGGACUCACGGGGAGACCGCCGGGGUCAACUCGGAGGAAGGUGGGGACGACGUCAAGUCAUCAUGCCCCUUAUGUCUUGGGCUGCACACGUGCUACAAUGGCCGGUACAAUGAGCUGCGAUACCGCGAGGUGGAGCGAAUCUCAAAAAGCCGGUCUCAGUUCGGAUUGGGGUC
rnacentral:rRNA from 1 species